GACGAACGCUGGCGGCGUGCUUAACACAUGCAAGUCGAACGAAGUGGCGAACGGGUGAGUAACGCGUAAUCAACCUGCCCUUCAGAGGGGGACAACAGUUGGAAACGACUGCUAAUACCGAAUACUGAAGGAGGGGAUUGCGUCUGAUUAGCUAGGUGGGGGGGUAACGGCCCACCAAGGGGAUGAUCAGGAGCCGGUUUGAGGGAAUGAACUGCUACAUGGGGACUGAGACACGGCCCAGACUCCUACGGGAGGCAGCAGUGGGGAAUCUUUCGCAAUGGAAGAAAGUCUGACGGAGCAACGCCGCGUGAUUGAUGACGGCCUUCGGGUUGUAAAGCUCUGUUAAGCGGGACGCGGUACCGGAAUAGAAAGCCACGGCUAACUACGUGCCAGCAGCCGCGGUAAUUC
rnacentral:rRNA from 1 species